rnacentral:tRNA from 1 species
UGGGGUUGUGGCUCAGAGGUAGAGCACUUGCUUAGCAUGCAUGAGGCACUGGGUUCGAUCCUCAGAACCACAG